rnacentral:sRNA from 1 species
AGAGUUAAAUAGUACGUGAAAUUGUUGAAAGGGAAACGAUUGAAGUCAGUCAUGCUAGUGAAAAAUCAGUUUGACGGGUUUUGAGUUCGGGAGUAGAGGCAGGGUCAAACCGUUUCUCUUUUGGACUUGGGAUUUGUCGGAUGUACUUUUUCUUUGGCAGGUCAGCGUCGGUUUCGGAGGUUGUAAAAUACUUGGGGGAAAGUAGCUCUGCUUCGGGAGAGUAUUAUAGACCCUGGGGGAUGCGGCCUGUGGGAUCGAGGAUUGCAGCAAAUGCCUUUGGCUUGUCGCCUGAUCUCUGGAUGUUACCUCUCUUGUGACAACAUUCUUGCCACCGGGGAGUACUGAUGCCCAUUAGGUUAGAACGAUCAAAAAUUUGCUAAGGAUGCUGACGUAAUGGCUUUAAACGACC